rnacentral:rRNA from 1 species
AGCGAACGCUGGCGGCAGGCUUAACACAUGCAAGUCGAGCGGGCGUAGCAAUACGUCAGCGGCAGACGGGUGAGUAACGCGUGGGAACAUACCUUUUGGUUCGGAACAACACAGGGAAACUUGUGCUAAUACCGGAUAAGCCCUUACGGGGAAAGAUUUAUCGCCGAAAGAUUGGCCCGCGUCUGAUUAGCUAGUUGGUGAGGUAACGGCUCACCAAGGCGACGAUCAGUAGCNGGUCUGAGAGGAUGAUCAGCCACAUUGGGACUGAGACACGGCCCAAACUCCUACGGGAGGCAGCAGUGGGGAAUAUUGGACAAUGGGCGCAAGCCUGAUCCAGCCAUGCCGCGUGAGUGAUGAAGGCCUUAGGGUUGUAAAGCUCUUUCGUCCGGGACGAUAAUGACGGUACCGGAAGAAGAAGCCCCGGUUAACUUCGUGCCAGCAGCCGCCGC